UACGUAGGGGGGCUAGCGUUGUCCGGAAUCAUUGGGCGUAAAGAGCGCGUAGGCGGCCAGAUAAGUCCGGUGUGAAAGUCACAGGCUCAACCUGUGAAUGCCACUGGAAACUGUCUGGCUAGAGUCCGGAAGGGGCGAGUGGAAUUCCUGGUGUAGCGGUGAAAUGCGCAGAUAUCAGGAGGAACACCAAUGGCGAAGGCAGCUCGCUGGGACGGUACUGACGCUGAGGCGCGAAAGCGUGGGGAGCAAACAGG
rnacentral:rRNA from 1 species